CUGACUUUAUCAGCCUUUUCACUAAGAUCAAGUGUAGUAUCUGUUCUUAUCAGUUUAACAUCUGAUACAUCCUCUAUUUGAGGACUAUAUAUUAAAUGGGUUUUUGGGUCUGGGAGAUGGAAUAGGGACUUGUUUCAUCCACUCGACACAUCAACCUGGUAUUGCAGUGCCUCCAACUAAUAUGCACCCCCA